AACGUAGGAGACAAACGUUAUCCGGAGUUACUGGGCGUAAAGGGCGUGUAGGCGGUUAGUUAAGUCUGGCGUGAAAGCUCUCGGCUAAACCGGGAGAGGUCGUUGGAUACUGGCUGACUAGAGGACGGUAGAGGCGUGUGGAAUUCCGGGUGUAGGGGUGAAAUGCGUAGAGAUCCGGAGGAACACCAGUGGCGAAGGCGACACGCUGGGCCGUACCUGACGCUAAAGCGCGACAGCAUGGGGAGCAAACGGG
rnacentral:rRNA from 1 species